UGGUUAUUUAUUUAUUUCCUUUCAGGCUCAAAGCAUUUCUCAACAAUAAUGGAGGGAGAAACAAUGGCCCAUUGAUGGGGGCACUGAGCUGUGCCUUGUCCUGGGUCCAAGUGGGCAUUGCUACUGAGAACUGCACUGACCCGGGGCUUGGCAGACCCAGGUGCAGCAUCCUUCUCUCCUGGGGAUUUCCAGCCUAACCCUGAGCCAGAAAAACCCAUUCUGCAGCGGUGCAAAACCCAAGGAGGCACAAAGCCCAAGGAGGAGGACAGAGAAGACUUUGGUCCCAGAAAUACAGGAGAAGCGAGGGGGAAGAGAGCAGGAAUUAUGUGAAUUAUGUGAAUUAUGGAGCCCACAGGUAAAGCAGAGCAUCCCGUCCUGCAGCUGGCAGGGAGGCUGGAGCAGGGCUCAGGCAGCGCCAGGAGCUGAGCUCACAUCUCCCGGCUCCCCAGCCAGUCCCCGACCCACAGGACCAUUUUUUCCUCUCCGUUCUGCCUCAUUAGCA
rnacentral:lncRNA from 12 species